AUGUCGUCGUCCUUGAUUGGUUCCACCCGUUCACGCGGCGGAGGGAUUCGAUGGAGAGGCACCGCAGCUAGGUCGCCGGUGCCUUAUCGUGAGCAGCCAAUGGAGUACAAGCAGGCGGUUUACUGCGGCCAGUGCGGGAGGAAGGCGCCGCGGUGGAUUUCAUGGAGUGCGGCAAACCCUGGAAGGAGAUAUUAUGCAUGCUUUGAAGCUCAAGUAUUCUCUGUACUUGUAUGUGCCCUGUUCUUAUAUGCGCUGAACCUCAGGUAG
rnacentral:rRNA from 1 species